AAACUAACAAGGAUUCCCCUAGUAACGGCGAGUGAACCGGGAAGAGCUCAAAUUUGAAAUCUGGCGUCCUCAGGGCGUCCGAGUUGUAAUCUAUAGAGGCGUUUUCCGUGCCGGACCGUGUCCAAGUCCCUUGGAACAGGGUAUCAAAGAGGGUGACAAUCCCGUACUUGACACGACUACCGGUGCUCUGUGAUACGUCUUCUACGAGUCGAGUUGUUUGGGAAUGCAGCUCAGAAUGGGUGGUGAGUUCCAUCUAAAGCUAAAUAUUGGCGAGAGACCGAUAGCGAACAAGUACCGUGAGGGAAAGAUGAAAAGCACUUUGGAAAGAGAGUUAAACAGUACGUGAAAUUGUUGAAAGGGAAACGAUUGAAGUCAGUCGUGACCGAGAGGCUCAGCCGGCUCUGCCGGUGUAUUCCCCUCGGUCGGGUCAACAUCAGUUUUGUCCGGUGGAUAAGGGCGGCAGGAAUGUGGCACCCUCGGGUGUGUUAUAGCCUGCUGUCGCAUACACCGGGUGAGACUGAGGAACGCAGCUCGCCUUUAUGGCCGGGGCCCGCCCACGUACGAGCUUAGGAUGUUGACGUAAUGGCUUUAAACGACCCGUCUU
rnacentral:rRNA from 1 species